GUGUCAGCCGCCGCGGUAAUACGGAGGGUGCAAGCGUUAAUCGGAAUUACUGGGCGUAAAGCGCACGCAGGCGGUUGGAUAAGUUAGAUGUGAAAGCCCCGGGCUCAACCUGGGAAUUGCAUUUAAAACUGUCCAGCUAGAGUCUUGUAGAGGGGGGUAGAAUUCCAGGUGUAGCGGUGAAAUGCGUAGAGAUCUGGAGGAAUACCGGUGGCGAAGGCGGCCCCCUGGACAAAGACUGACGCUCAGGUGCGAAAGCGUGGGGAGCAAACAGGAUUAGAUACCCUAGUAGUCC
rnacentral:rRNA from 1 species